ACGCGCAGCAUUCUGUAGCAAUACAGGGUGUGGGCGCGUGGCGAACGGGUGCGUAACACGUGGAUAACCUUCCUUCAGGUGGGGAAUAACCCAGUGAAAAUUGGGCUAAUACCGCAUAACAUGACGAUGCCACAUGGUGUUGUCUUCAAAGCCGCAAGGCGCCAGAAGAGGGAUCCGCGGCCGAUUAGCUUGUUGGCGAGGUAAUGGCUCACCAAGGCUUUGAUCGGUAGCCGGACUGAGAGGUUGGCCGGCCACACUGGAACUGAGACACGGUCCAGACUCCUACGGGAGGCAGCAGUGGGGAAUCUUGCACAAUGGACGAAAGUCUGGUGCAGCAACGCCGCGUGGGGGAUGAAGCUUCUCGGAGUGUAAACCCCUUUCGACCCGGAAGAAUGCCCGCAAGGGUUUGACGGUACGGGUAUAAGAAGCCCCGGCUAACUACGUGCCAGCAGCCGCGGUAAUACGUAGGGGGCCAGCGUUGCUCGGAAUUACUGGGCGUAAAGGGUCUGUAGGCGGUGCGGCAAGUCGAUAGUGAAAUCCCUAGGCUUAACCUAGGGGCUGCUAGC
rnacentral:rRNA from 1 species